GUUGAACGCUGGCGGAAUGCUUUACACAUGCAAGUCGAACGGUAGAGGGGGCAACCCCUCGAGAGUGGCGAACGGGUGAGUAAUAUAUCGGAACGUGCCCAGUCGUGGGGGAUAACGUAGCGAAAGUUACGCUAAUACCGCAUACGAUCUAAGGAUGAAAGCGGGGGAUCGCAAGACCUCGCGCGAUUGGAGCGGCCGAUAUCAGAUUAGGUAGUUGGUGGGGUAAAGGCUCACCAAGCCAACGAUCUGUAGCUGGUCUGAGAGGACGACCAGCCACACUGGAACUGAGACACGGUCCAGACUCCUACGGGAGGCAGCAGUGGGGAAUUUUGGACAAUGGACGCAAGUCUGAUCCAGCCAUUCCGCGUGCAGGAUGAAGGCCCUCGGGUUGUAAACUGCUUUUGUACGGAACCAAAAGGUCUCUCUUAAUACGGGGGACUCAUGACGGUACCGUAAGAAUAAGCACCGGCUAACUACGUGCCAGCAGCCGCCGUAAAAC
rnacentral:rRNA from 1 species